rnacentral:ncRNA from 1 species
CCUUUGGAGAAUCAUAUCAAAUCAGAGUAGUCUAUCCUUGUGAUGACAAAAUGAGGUUCUAUGAAUAAGGAA